rnacentral:lncRNA from 1 species
CUUUUACAUUCUAAUCAAUAAAUUUUCAAUGAGAUUAAUAAAAAUAUAAAAUAAUUAUAAUUACAAAAUUAUUAACUUUCUCUCAAACAAAUAAUGGUGAAAAACCUCUUUGAUGUGAACUACUUCAACUAAGGGACUAUUUGAUUAGAUGUAAUUAUAAAUGCAGUGUAGUUAGAGAUACGAAUGUGCAUAUAGUUGGAAAUGCAACAAUUAUAACAACAUGCAUUCUGUUUGGUUGGAUGUAGUAGAAAACGUUGCAACUAUAAAUAAUUUGUUUGGUUGUAUAUAGUUGAGAAAUAAUUUUUAAAAAUUUAUCAUUUUAUAUAUAUGAUGGUGAAAUUAUCUGUAAUGUAAUAUAUAUAGAGUUAGUCUGGUAUACUAUCGGUAGCCUGGAGGCUUCUGUGCUAUCAAGUUGUUUUCAAUGAUGCAGCUUCCAAAUCAACAAUCGGCUCAGUUAGACUUGAUUUACACUAUUAAAAAUAUUUAGAAACUAAAUUUUAUAAUUUUUCGACAUCAUUUGGUUAGUGAUUAAAAGGUCUCAAAAUUGACAAUUUUAAUGGUAGAUGUGAUGCAUUUGUAAAUUUAACGGUGUAAAAUAAUCCAAAUCAGAUAAAAUUUUUAUAGAAAAUUUUUUUUACUAUUGAGAGUAAGAUCAGUAUCUCUGAUCUUAAAUUCAAGUCUUCUAUCAUCUUUUUUAUGAGAUUUUUAUUUUCAGCCGUUCAUUUUUAGACUACUCGUUUGAUAGAUAAAUGAUACCAAAAAAUUAUAAAAUUUAGUUUCCAAAUACUUUCAAUAGUCUAGAUCAAGUCUAAUGGAACCGAUCGUCGAUUUGGAAGCGGCAUCAUUAAAAACAACUUGAUAACACAGAGGCCUCCGUGUUACCGCUAGUAUAGCAGUCUAACUCUAUAUAUAUAUAUAUAAUUAAAAAAAUUAAGGAGUUAAACAUGUCUUUUAUUUAGAAUUACUCUCUUUAAUUGCUGCAGUUGGAACUGCGGCCAAUUUGGGCAUAUUUCCAACUACAGCAGUUGAGCCUCUUCUCACAGUUACUACUGCAGCAGUUGUAGUUAAAUAUAUCAAGCAAACGCCGAAUUUAUAUUUAUAUGCAGUUACAAUUACAGUAUAGUUAUAACUAUAAACAACCAAAUGGCUCUAAUUAAAAAUCACUUUCAAUUU